CGGCAUGCCUAACACAUGCAAGUCGAACGGCUCUUCGGAGCAGUGGCGCACGGGUGAGUAACGCGUGGGAACCUACCCUGAGGUUCGGAAUAACGGCUGGAAACGGCCGCUAAUACCGGAUGUGUCCUAGUGGGGACAAAGGCUUGCCGCCGUUGGAGGGCCCGCGUCCGAUUAGCUUGUUGGUGAGGUAACGGCUCACCAAGGCGACGAUCGGUAGCUGGUCUGAGAGGAUGAUCAGCCACACUGGGACUGAGACACGGCCCAGACUCC
rnacentral:rRNA from 2 species